GGUGUAGCGCAGUUGGUAGCGCGCCUGCUUUGGGAGCAGGAUGUCGGGGGUUCGAGUCCCUUCACU
rnacentral:tRNA from 1 species